rnacentral:tRNA from 1 species
GGGCCCCUAACUCAGUCGGUAGAGUGUGCGCAUGAUAAGCGUUACGUCAGUAGUUCAAAUCUACUGGGGCUCA